UGCAGUUCGAACGCUUUUUUUUUUACCGGAGCUUGCUCCACCGAAAGAAAAAGAGUGGCGAACGGGUGAGUAACACGUGGAUAACCUACCCUCAAGCGGGGGAUAACACUUGGAAACAGGUGCUAAUACCGCAUAACAAAGAAAACCGCAUGGUUUUCUUUUGAAAGGCGCUUUUGCGUCACUUGAGGAUGGAUCCGCGGUGCAUUAGCUAGUUGGUGAGGUAACGGCUCACCAAGGCAACGAUGCAUAGCCGACCUGAGAGGGUGAUCGGCCACAUUGGGACUGAGACACGGCCCAAACUCCUACGGGAGGCAGCAGUAGGGAAUCUUCGGCAAUGGACGAAAGUCUGACCGAGCAACGCCGCGUGAGUGAAGAAGGUUUUCGGAUCGUAAAACUCUGUUGUUAGAGAAGAACAAGGAUGAGAGUAAAAAGUUCAUCCCUUGACGGUAUCUAACCAGAAAGCCACGGCUAACUACGUGCCAGCAGCCGCGGUAAUACGUAGGUGGCAAGCGUUGUCCGGAUUUAUUGGGCGUAAAGCGAGCGCAGGCGGUUUCUUAAGUCUGAUGUGAAAGCCCCCGGCUCAACCGGGGAGGGUCAUUGGAAACUGGGAAACUUGAGUGCAGAAGAGGAGAGUGGAAUUCCAUGUGUAGCGGUGAAAUGCGUAGAUAUAUGGAGGAACACCAGUGGCGAAGGCGGCUCUCUGGUCUGUAACUGACGCUGAGGCUCGAAAGCGUGGGGAGCAAACAGGAUUAGAUACCCUGGUAGUCCACGCCGUAAACGAUGAGUGCUAAGUGUUGGAGGGUUUCCGCCCUUCAGUGCUGCAGCUAACGCAUUAAGCACUCCGCCUGGUGAGUACGACCGCAAGGUUGACACUCGAAGGAAUUGACGGGUGCCCGCACAAGCGGUGGAAGCAUGUGAGUUUAUUUCUAAGCACCGCAUAAAACCCGUACAAGGUCAUGACAUCCUUUUGACCACUCUGGCAGAUAGAGCAUACCACUUCGCGGCGCAUAGUGACAGGAAGUAGCAUGGGUGGUCGACGAUUUCUUGUCCCUGAAAUGGUGGUGUUUAUGUCCGGAAACGAUUGUCACCACUAACAGAAAAUCUGAUAUCAUUAAGGUGGGGCAUUUCAGGGAGAACUGCUCGUGAACAACGCGAAAGUAACGUCGCGAAGGACAGCCAUGAAUAAAAGGCCCGAGACGACCUCCGGCCCACUAAGGGGGGGAGGAACCAGCCACCGUUACGGAAGGGGAGGAAAUUUCCGGAGGCUGGAAGGGAAUGCUCCCCAGGCACCAAUCAAAUUGUUGGAAAGGGCGGCGCGCGUUACGUACGCGAAGGGGAAAGCCCGCAAUCCCUUCCCAAAACAAAAGAAAACGGCCGUGUUUGUUUUUUGUAAUGGUAAACCCGGGACCCCUGAAAACGGUUAUCCUUCGCCCGCCGCCCGCAAAGUGGGAGACGGGAAGGCAUUCGGAACAUGACAAUUCGCAACCGU
rnacentral:rRNA from 1 species